rnacentral:misc_RNA from 1 species
GAUGAAGAACGUAGCGAAAUGCGAUACUUGGUGUGAAUUGCAGAAUCCCGUGAACCAUCGAGUCUUUGAACGCAAGUUGCGCCCGAAGCCGUCAGGCCGAGGGCACGCCUGCCUGGGCGUCACACGCCGUUGCCCCCCCCCCAGCGCCUCCCUCGGGAGCGUCGGGGGGAGCGGACGAUGGCCUCCCGUGCGACACCCCGUGCGGUUGGCACAAAUGCCGGGUCCUCGGCGACGAACGCCACGACAAUCGGUGGUUGUCAAACCUCGGUUGCCCGUUGUGCGCCUUCGUCGCGCCACGAGCGGCCCGCGAUAGCGAACGGCUCCGUUCCGGCGGAGCUUUCAACGCGACCCCAGGUCAGGCGGGGUUACCCGCUGAGUUUAAGCAUAUCAAUAAGCGGAGGA